AGAGAAGAAGAUCAGCCUGCA
rnacentral:miRNA from 2 species